AAUAGAUCCCUGGUAGUCUACGCCGUAAACGAUGGAUGCUAGCUGUAUUCGGUAUCGACCCCGGAUGUAGCGAAGCUAACGCGUUAAGCAUCCCGCCUGUGGAGUACGGUCGCAAGACUAAAACAUAAAGGAAUUGACGGGGACCCGCACAAGCGGUGGAGCGUGUUGUUUAAUUCGAUGGUAAGCGAAGAACCUUACCCAGGUUUGACAUCCUUGGAAUUUCUGCGAAAGCAGAGAGUGCUUUAUUGAGCCAAGUGACAGGUGAUGCAUGGCCGUCGUCAGCUCGUGUCGUGAGAUGUUUGGUUAAGUCCAUUAACGAGCGCAACCCUUGUAGUUAGUUGAAUUUUUCUAGCUAGACUGCCCCGGUAACGGGGAGGAAGGAGGGGAUGAUGUCAGGUCAGUAUUUCCCUUACAUCUGGGGCUACAAACACGCUACAAUGGCCGGUACAAAGGGCAGCCAACCCGCGAGGGGGAGCAAAUCCCAUCAAAGCCGGUCUCAGUUCGGAUAGCAGGCUGAAACUCGCCUGCUUGAAG
rnacentral:rRNA from 1 species